rnacentral:rRNA from 1 species
GACGAACGCUGGCGGCGUGCUUAACACAUGCAAGUCGAACGGAAAGGCCCUGCUUUUGUGGGGUGCUCGAGUGGCGAACGGGUGAGUAACACGUGAGUAACCUGCCCUUGACUUUGGGAUAACUUCAGGAAACUGGGGCUAAUACCGGAUAGGAGCUCCUGCUGCAUGGUGGGGGUUGGAAAGUUUCGGCGGUUGGGGAUGGACUCGCGGCUUAUCAGCUUGUUGGUGGGGUAGUGGCUUACCAAGGCUUUGACGGGUAGCCGGCCUGAGAGGGUGACCGGCCACAUUGGGAUGGGGAUACGGCCCGGACCCCUACGGGGGGAAGAAGUGGGGAAUUUUGCACAAGGGGCGGAAGCCUGAUGCAGCAACGCCGCGGGCGGGAUGACGGCCUUCGGGUUGUAAACCUCUUUCGCCUGUGACGAAGCGGGAGGGACGGAAAUGGGUAAAGAAGCACCGGCAAACUACGG